rnacentral:rRNA from 1 species
GACGAAUGCUGGCUGCGUGCUUAACACAUGCAAGUCGAACGGUGAAGGGGAGCUUGCUCCCCGGAUCAGUGGCGAACGGGUGAGUAACACGUGGGCAACCUGCCCCUCACUCUGGGAUAACUCCGGGAAACCGGGGCUAAUACCGGAUACGACCUGGUGCGACAUCGCACCGGGUGGAAAGAACUUCGGUGAGGGAGUGGGCCCGCGGACUAUCAGCUUGUUGGGGGGGUAACGGCCCACCAAGGCGACGACGGGAAGCAGGCCUGAGAGGGCGACCGGCCGCACGGGGACUGAGACACGGCCCAGAGCCCUACGGGAGGCAGCAGUGGGGAAUAUUGCGCAAUGGGCGAAAGCCUGACGCAGCGACGCAGCGUGAGGGACGGAGGCCUUCGGGUUGUAAACCUCUUUCAGCGGGGACGAAGCGCAAGUGACGGUACCCGCAGAAGAAGCACCGGCUAACUACGUGCCAGCCGCCGCCGUAAUAC